UAUCUGGUUUUCACCAUGUAAUAUAUGAGUCUUAGGCUUCAUCUGGAAUUGCAGAGAGAUUGCGUUCGUGCGGUGAGAAAUCGCGAUGAAAAAAUAUCCUAUUUGUUUUUGUACGUAAUAUUGCGUUAUGUUGCGGUUAGUCGGUUACGAUAUAUUUUCUACAGUCCCAUCAAAGAACGCAGAAGCAUAUCCCUAUAUAUUUUUUCUCAACUCCAUUCUAUCUAACAAUGUUAAAUAGAUCUCAAUACCAAACUAAGCCUUAAUAAUUUUUUUGGUUUCGCGUAUUUACCAUUUUGCAUGGGAAUUU
rnacentral:lncRNA from 1 species